rnacentral:tRNA from 1 species
GCUCUCGUAGUGUAAAGGUAGCAUACUCGGCUCGUGUUCGAGAGGUCCAGGUUCGAAUCUCGGCGAGGGCA